GCUGUUAUAGCUCAGUCAGUAGAGCAUGAGGCUCUUAAUCUAAGGGUUGUGGGUUUGAGCCCCACAUUGGGCA
rnacentral:tRNA from 1 species